rfam:Nocardia soli strain Y48, complete genome.
CGAGUCGGCCGGGCGACCGCGGUGACGGGAACGGGUACCUCAGGUGCCGCUGCCCGACGCCGAGGAAAGUCCGGACUCCACAGAGCAGGGCGGUUGUUAACGGCAACCCGGGGUGACCCGCGGGACAGUGCCACAGAAAACAGACCGCCGCGCGCAGGCGCGGUAAGGGUGAAACGGUGCGGUAAGAGCGCACCAGCGCCCCGGGUGACCGGGGCGGCUAGGUAAACCCCGCCCGGAGCAAGGUCGAAGGUCGCACCUCGCGGUGCGGCUGCGCAGGUGUUGGAGGGCUGCUCGCCCGAGCCUGCGGGUGGACCGCUCGAGGCACCCGGCGACGGUGUGUCCAGAUGGAUGGUCGCCUACCGAUGCGAAUCGGGGACAGGAUCCGGCUUACAGGUCGGCUCGUCCG